GACGAACGCUGGCGGCGUGCCUAAUACAUGCAAGUCGAACGCUGAAGGCGUUGCUUGCUUCUCCGGAUGAGUUGCGAACGGGUGAGUAACGCGUAGGUAACCUGCCUCGUAGCGGGGGCUAACUAUUGGAAACGCUAGCUAAUACCGCAUAAUACUACAUGUUGCAUGACAUUUGCUUAAAAGGUGCAUUUGCGUUGCUACCACAUGCUCCUGCGUUGUAUUAGCUAGUUGGUGAGGUAACGGCUCACCAAGGCGACGAUACGUAGACGACGUGGGAGGGUGAUAGGCGACACUGGGAGUGAGACACGGCCAAGGCUCCUGCGGGAGGCAGCAGUAGGGAAUGGUAGGCAAUGGACGGAAGUAUGGCCGAGCAACGCCGAGUGAGAGAAGAAGGUUCUCGGAUCGUAAAGAUCUGUUGUAAGAGAAGAACGGGUGUGAGAGUGGAAAGUGCACACUGUGACGGUAUCUGACCAGAAAGGAACGGCUAACUACGUG
rnacentral:rRNA from 1 species